rnacentral:rRNA from 1 species
UACGGAGGGUGCGAGCGUUAUCCGGAUUUACUGGGUUUAAAGGGUGUGUAGGCGGGCUAUUUAAGUCAGCGGUGAAAUCUUCGGGCUCAACCCGGAAACUGCCAUUGAUACUAUUAGUCUUGAAUACUGUGGAGGUAUGCGGAAUGUGUCAUGUAGCGGUGAAAUGCUUAGAGAUGACACAGAACACCGAUUGCGAAGGCAGCGUACUACACAGUGAUUGACGCUGAGGCACGAAAGCGUGGGGAUCAAACAGG